GCGGAAAUAGCUCAGUUGGUAGAGCAUAACCUUGCCAAGGUUAGGGUCGCGAGUUCGAGUCUCGUU
rnacentral:tRNA from 3 species